UACGUAGGGUGCGAGCGUUGUCCGGAUUUAUUGGGCGUAAAGAGCUCGUAGGCGGUUUGUCGCGUCGGCCGUGAAAUCUCCACGCUUAACGUGGAGCGUGCGGUCGAUACGGGCAGACUUGAGUUCGGUAGGGGAGACUGGAAUUCCUGGUGUAGCGGUGAAAUGCGCAGAUAUCGGGAGGAACACCCGUAGCGAAGGCGGCACUCUGGGCCGGUACUGACGCUGAGGAGCGAAAGCGUGGGGAGCAAACAGG
rnacentral:rRNA from 1 species